rnacentral:tRNA from 6 species
GCGGGUGUAGUUCAAUGGUAGAACUUCAGCUUCCCAAGCUGACGGCGCGGGUUCGAUUCCCGUCACCCGCUCCA